GUGGGGAAUUUUGGACAAUGGGCGCAAGCCUGAUCCAGCAAUGCCGCGUGCAGGAAGAAGGCCUUCGGGUUGUAAACUGCUUUUGUACGGAACGAAAAGGCUCUGGUUAAUACCUGGGGCUCAUGACGGUACCGUAAGAAUAAGCACCGGCUAACUACGUGCCAGCAGCCGCGGUAAUACGUAGGGUGCAAGCGUUAAUCGGAAUUACUGGGCGUAAAGCGUGCGCAGGCGGUUUUGUAAGACAGACGUGAAAUCCCCGGGCUCAACCUGGGAAUGGCGUUUGUGACUGCAAAGCUGGAGUGCGGCAGAGGGGGAUGGAAUUCCGCGUGUAGCAGUGAAAUGCGUAGAUAUGCGGAGGAACACCGAUGGCGAAGGCAAUCCCCUGGGCCUGCACUGACGCUCAUGCACGAAAGCGUGGGGAGCAAACAGGAUUAGAAACCUUUGUAGUCC
rnacentral:rRNA from 1 species